CCUGGCUCUUUGCUUCUGCUUAGCGCCUUGGCGCGCUUGGUCACAGCGCCCCGGAAAACGCUGGGGUUUCCACAGCGCAGAAUGGAAUGGUUCAUUCUGUGUUGUUCCUCCUCCACUCGGGCACGUCACCUGCUCUGCUCCUGGCAAGCCUUCCAGGUGGGCUGGCUUCUGCCCCACCCGGGCACGGCAGCACCUUCUCCCUUCCCUUCAGGCACCUGCUGCUCCUCCCUCCCCGACUUAGCUGUGAAUCUUCGCGAAACCGCUGGCGACCUGGUGGCAGGUGCCUCUCCUCUCUUUGCCUCAGUUUCCUCCUUUGUAAGAUAAGAACCCUAACACCAAGUUGCAGGUGGUGGGAGGAUUAAACAAGGAAAUACACUUGAAGUGUUUAGAUUGGAGUGUGCGGCCUGCAAUGUGCUCAGUGACUGUUAGUUAAAAGGAAGCAAAACAGAACCAAGGAAACAACAACUGUGCGGACAGACGUGAUUAGGACAAGCCACCCUGCAUGGACUUUGACCGUUCAACAGAUUCAUUUCUCUGGCUUACAACUAAAGAGCCACACUCACAUGCUCUUCCUGCCAUCAGCAUUUCCUCCGGAGGAGGUAUUAGGAGAUGGUUCUUGGCCACCUCCAACUGCAAGGGGCUGGCAGGAGACAGGACUACAGAAGUCUGGUGUUUGCCACGUAUGAUGACCCUCACGGAAACGCAGGAUGCAUAGAUCAAUACAGAAAUGCAAAGAUGGCCGUUGGAGAGACUUCUGACUGUGAGGCGCUGCUCACGAGGCGGGACCGCGCCCAGAUUCUGUUGGACUAGCUGCGGUGGGUCCAACAAAGCUCAGCUCUUCUGACCCUGCUCCCAGCUGACCGGCCAGGUCAGUGGAGAUUGCUUUUUGGAAUAAAAGGUUUAUGAAGUUAGCUUAAUUUUAUUAAUUUGUCUUCACAUCCAACAGACAAUAUGUCAUUUGGCCAAAUUUUAUGAUUCAGUUACUGGAAAGAACUUUUAGUUCAAUGUAUUCUCUACUUUUAUUAUUAAUGUCAUACAACACAUACAGUUUUUGUAAAAUUUAUUCAGACAACCUAACUGUUUUUCUCUUGGGGUUGAUAUUUCACUUUGCUUUGUUUCAACUGGAAUAUCAUAGUCCUUUAGUGCUGUGAUAGCUUCUGUCAUUUUCAUGAAUAUCUUCACUUUGCCUUUUAUGUUCAGCCACUUUUGCCAUUCCUCUAUUAAUCUAUUAUUAGCUCUAACAAUUUAAAUUUUCUUCAAGUAAAGCCCAAUCUCUAGAAAAGUUUUCAUUUUCCAACAUUUAAUGACUCCCACUUCCCACGUUCUGUCUGCAAAGCCCAGGCUCCCAAACUGCCCUUGCAGAACCACCCUGUCACCCAAAGAGUUUUCAAUUUUUCUUUAUAUUGAUUUCUUUUUUCUGCACAUACUGUUUAAUCCUCUCUGAGGCUUAUUUUAUAUGUGGUUGAAAAAAUAAAGUUUAUUGAGAAAAGAAAUAAAGUUAGCUGAUUUAUAGGUUUUAUUGCAUUUUUCAUAAAUAAAUAAAUCCAGUGUUGUGGCUGGGAACAAGCCAAACUAAAUUUUUCCACCUUCUGGAUGGAAAGCCAUGUUUCCUCUGGAAUAUUAGGCUGCACCACCUGGACAAAACCACACAAUGUAUGCAUGUAAAUAUUUCUCACGGAAACCCAUGUUUUACGUGCACUGACAAUAAAGUGUGCUAUAUUGUUUCAGAUAUCUUAUUUUUUUUCAUUUAAUCCCCAAUGUGAUAAUAUCAGAUAUGUUAUAGUAUCAGGAAAUGAUUAACUUAUCUUAAAAAUCUUGGAUUUCACGUUUUAAGUAAAUUCUUACAAUUUUUAUGCUAAAG